AUUUCAGCCUAAUCAGAGUUGUUUAAAAUUCAAACAAUCAGUUGCGGGUUAUUUUAGUGGGAAAUUCUUUUGCACUGUUCUUGAAGUCUGAUGUAGGAGAGUGGAGGACUUCAUGAAGCAAUCCGAUGCUGCUCCAGACUCUGAUGAUUUAAAGUAUCGCUUUAUCAAGCAAGUUGGGGAUCAAGUAUAUGAGGAUAGGGCUACUC